UGCCUGGGAGUCUUGCUGUGAGACUGGCCAGGACGGAGUGGGAGUGUGGGACUGCAGUCCAGACGGAGUGCGAGGACGGAGCGAAGGAAGUGCUGAACUGUGCCAGUGUCUGUGAUAAAACGUGGAACUUGAUGGAGUACCUUCUCCUGAUCCAGAAUGGCCUGGAACCGCAGAUUAGAUGGACAGCUGAACACUCUGUGACUGGGUUACAAAAGGAGAGGUUAGCAUGUCAGAAAGGACUUUUCUUACAGCAAAAAAUCAGAAGCUCUGACCUAAAACUUCUGUGAGAACCAUGUGGAUAAUGAAGACACUAGCUGAAGCAGUUACUGAAGUAUUAGUGACUAUCAUGGAAGACAGCACAUGUCAGAGAUCCUCAUUCCUGCAUCAAAGCUGUUGACCUCUUAUUCUCCUCUGCCUCCUCAUCCCACUACUAUUCUUAGA